rnacentral:lncRNA from 1 species
GAAACGAUGGACAUCCCCGACAGUGUUACCAUCAAGGUUCACGCUAAAGUGAUCGAAGUCGAAGGACCUCGCGGGAAGCUUGUUCGCGAUUUCAAGCAUCUCAACCUCGAUUUCCAGCUGAUCAAGGAUCCAGAGACUGGAAAGAAGAAGCUUAAGAUCGAUUCGUGGUUUGGAACACGCAAAACCAGCGCCUCCAUCAGAACCGCUCUUAGCCACGUCGAUAACUUGAUCUCCGGUGUUACCAGAGGUUUCCGUUACAAGAUGAGGUUCGUGUACGCCCAUUUUCCCAUCAACGCCUCCAUCGGCGGUGACGGAAAGUCUAUCGAGAUCCGUAACUUCCUUGGCGAGAAGAAGGUUUGUUUUAUCUUCUUCAUCUCUGAUUUGAUUCUCAUAGAUUCGUGUAGAUCUCGGAAUGAAAUAGACUGACACUAGAUUCAACUUUAUGAUUGGACGAUGAUGAUUGAUUUCUGAGUUUGCGAGCACUGAACUUACAUAGAAAUGUGUUUAUUGGAAUAAUAGGUGAGGAAGGUAGAGAUGUUGGAUGGUGUAACCAUUGUUCGAUCUGAGAAGGUGAAGGAUGAGAUUGUUCUUGACGGUAACGAUAUCGAGCUUGUUUCAAGGUCGUGCGCUCUGAUCAACCAGGUACUCCAUUCUUUAACUAGUAGAUAUCACAAUUUUGUUUUAAUGAUCUGAAGAUAUCACAAUUCUCUCAUAGUCUACUAUAUCCACAACAACUUGAAAUUAAUCUUGGGUCGAAAAGAUAGAGCCGUUGUGUAGUAUAGGAGACGUAGAUUUCUUUUGUUUUGGUUGAUGUUUGAGUUUGGGAUCACAUUUUGCAUAGUGAAAUCGAACUGAUUCAUCUAUAACUGAUUUAAUGCGCUCUGGUCAACCAAUAUUUUAUUGGUUAAAAUGUGUUUCUCAUAGUCUUGUACAAUAUCAACUAGGAAUAUUCUGAGCUAACUUGGCCGAGUUUGCAUAUUGUUGUAUGAAGGAAAGCAUAAGCGAUUGUGUUUAAAAAUGAUUCUUUGUUGACAAUUUAACUUUGUUGUCAUAUAUUUCAUAGUUGAACUGACUUGAUUCUUUAUGUUUUACUGUCUUAUGUAACUGCUAUGGUUUGCAUUAUUGUGCAGAAAUGUCACGUGAAGAAGAAGGAUAUCAGGAAGUUCCUUGACGGUAUCUAUGUUAGCGAGAAAAGCAAGAUCGUAGAGGAAGAAUGAAUACUCAUAUUCCCCUCUUAGCUCAUAUUUCUUGUGUUUGGAAUGUUGUUAGUUUUGUUUUAUGGACCAAAUCCACCGGUGAUGUAAACCUUGCCUUUUUUUUGUUCGAGAAUUUAUUAACUUAUGCAACAAGUUUUGGAGACAAUUAGAGACCCAUUCACUCUCACACUUUUGCCAAAUUACAUCUUCUCGGAUGAAUUUUGAAUUCUGAAGAAUUUGGUUGUGUUUUUGAAUUCCAGAACAUUAUAAUCCAUUGUCCUGAAUGAAAACGCCCACAAAUUUAGAGGGUGUUAUCGGUUCCUAAUUUACAAGAAAUUUUGAUGACUUUAGUUAAAUCUUUGAAAGUAAAGAAAUGAAAGAUUAUAAACGAUUGUUAGAGAGUUUUUUGAUAAUCUUGUUGAUUAGUUUUUUAUAAUUUUGUAAAGUUUUCCAAACAAUCUCUCUAUUUUAAUAAUAUUUUCCAUGACUUUCCAUGACUUCAUUUUGUAAAGAAAAGUGUAGGAAAUCAUGAACCAAUAACACAAUAAUUUAAAUCAUUAACAAUCAUUAAAAAUCAAAGAUUCUUUUGUUUUAAUUGAAUAACACAAAACUUUUAAUGAUUUAAUAAAAGUUCGUAUCUAAUAACCCAAAAUUUAUGAAGAUUUUAGAUUACUUUUUACAAAUCUUAAACGAAUAACACAAAACUUUAACAUACUUUAAAAAAGUCUUGAUUGAAUAACAACAGAUUUUACAUGACAAUUUAAAUCAUUAAAACUCUUUUGAAAUCAUAAACGAAUAACACCCUAUUAAUAUUUAGUCAAAUUAAUACUCAUACUUUUUCUAACUUAAAUUUAAUACUCAAAUACUUUUUCAAAUACUCAAAUUUAAUAUUUAACAAAACUUUUUCAUUUGUUACUCAAAUAAACUUUUAUAAUUCUAGCUGGGAAAAUUUCCAAAAAUAAACUUCAACUAUUUAAUAUUUGCCAGAAUUCUUUUUUUUUCUUUUCUCGUUGCCUAAAAUAAUCUAAUCUAGUUUACGGCCCAUAAAACAAAGGGUUAUUGAGUUUAUAGUCAUAAACUAAUUGCAUUCUCAGAUUUUCCUCAAUGGAUUAUAAAAUCAGCCAUAAACCCUAUAAAAUCAGUCAAUUUUUUUUUUCAUCCUAAAACAAACACAAACUAUUCUUUAUUUUCUAAUUUCUCUUCGUCUUCGUUAUGGCCGUUAACGACAUCGUUGACGUCGUUACUAUUUUUGAGAAAAUUUCUAACCCAAAUUAUGAAAUUUUGCUUGAAAAAAAUACCUGAAUUUCUAUUUCCUUGCCAUAAAAUAACACAUAUCAACAUUUUUUUUUCUCUUCUUUUAUUCCAUUAACAAUGUAAGAUGGUCAAAUGUCAUAACUUUAUGUGCUCUCUUGAACCUCAUACAAGUUCUCAUUACUAUUUAGGACAAUUAAAUUCAACAACAAAAAUACACAAUUAGAUUAGUCUAUUUCUAUUUUUUUCAAUACCCAAACUAAACCCAUAUCGAAAAAACCCGAUUUGGGCGAGUAAGAGUUUCAGGAAUGUACCUCAUUGGAUAGAGUUCGGGUCGGUCCGGAUCAGAGAUUGCCCAUUACACACACCGGAUAUCCAUAAACCCGAUAUAAGGUAUGUGUAUAUAUACGGUAUAGAUAUAGUUUUAUACAUUUAUAGACUAGUUUACCUUUUGCAUGCUUGAUUGAAUUACCCAUGCAUCAGUUUCCAACAAGGCUACAAUCCUACUUCUCGUUGUAGUUCUAUACUUUUUAUUUUCAGAUAGUCGGAUUUAUGUUUUCAAAUUCAUUAUCGGAUUACUCACUCUUAAUUCUAAGUAUUACACUUUGUGAUUUUGGAUUGGAUUUGGAUGUCAAGUUUGAAGUGUUUUAUUCUCUUUAUUACUCACAUUUUGGGUUUACGGUUAAUUUUUAUCCAUUCAGACCCGAACCCGAAAGAAUUCAAAAUUUUCAAGUAUUUACCGGUUCUCAGACUUAGUACCCAAUCUAACCCGAAUCCGGGUGUACCUAAUCCGAACCGGAACUGAAUAUAUGCAAUUACCCUAAGAGUAGUAAAUCCAUUACCCAUUUAACCGGAACGGGUUAUCUAUAUGCCCAUUCCUAGAUUUGAUCUUAGAUCUAUACAAGCUUUACAAAUUUUGAGAUUUCAUCGACACUGGAAUUCUAAAUUUCAUGAGAGCUUAAAAAAACUUUGUAGAUCUUCGUAGAUUCUCUAUAUAAAACGAAAAAAUUAAUUCAAUCAAGCAAAACUCACCAAAAUUGAAGCUUUAAAACCGCAACAUGAGAAUAAAGCAAAGAGAACAAAACAAAGCUGAUAUUCGAACGGGACAUAAAUAUCUGAUAUAUUUGUAAAUGUUUUGAGUUUUGUAUCCAAUUAUACCCAAAAUCUAGCAAAAGAUCUGAAAUUUAACCAUAAUCCACCAAAAAAACAUACCAGUAUUUCAGGUAUUCAGGUACUUGUUCAGGUAUGAGAUACAAUCAAGUAUGAAAUACACGAACUGAUUAGUACCCAUUUUUAGGGUAUUUAUAACUUCUAAAAGUCUAAACCUGAUUCGUCCUAAACUUGAAUGACCGAAUCAAACUGAACCAAUUUUGUAUAUUUACUCAAUUAAGUCCUAAAAUCCUCUAUCUGAUUUGAACGCGAUCGACUAGAGUACAUGAAUACAGAAUAUCCAAUCAUAUCCACCAUAAAGGAUACUAAACUCUCCGAUUUGAAUUACCCGAAUCCAAAAAAGCCGAAUAACGUGCAUUUUGUUUGUAUUUGAUUAUAUUAAUUUGCAUAUCUAUGGGCUGUUAAUGCCAAUAAUAUAUUUUGGGUGUUCUUGGGCUUGAACUUUAUUGGGCUAGGAAUGGUUGUAUAUUUAACCCUACUUCUGAUUAGUCUCUUAGUAAAGAAACUAGGGUUUUCGUCGCCGUCAUUUUUCUUGACCUAAAGAGCGAUCAAUUGAGAAGGAGAGAGAGAACAAAACUUCCGUCAUUCCAGCCUUAUAUUUUAACGGGACAUGGGCAUAUUGCAAAUAAUGUAUUUUCUCAUUUUUGGUUACUAGGCUGCGUUUUGAAAAACCCACCUGAACGAUGUUUAGGGUUUCUGUUUUUCGUUAUACUUUUUAUAAGGGCGCCGAUAAAUCGUUUUCUAGGGUUUAUUUGAUUAAAAAGAGAGCCGCCGUAAAACAUUAACGUUGUUUAGGGUUUGUAUUUCAUAUAUUUUUAAAAUGCCGUCGACAAAACCUUUUCCUAGGGUUUCUGUCUUUGAUCAAACCAAAAACAACAAAUUUGAUAAAGAUAGCAAAUCAGGAAUCAGAGAAAUUGGUGUAUGCCGGUGACCAAAGUAUUCUCAACAUACUAGAAUGAUUCAUAAAAAUACGAGGAUUUUUUUUCUUUCUUUCGGGUAUUUCUUUCAUUCCAUACAAUUCAAAGUCAAAGAUGAACACCUAAUUGUGCGUUGAAAAAAAAAGACAUAAUGUGCACAUUUUGAUCUAUAUAUAAUUAAUUAUGUAAAUUUUAUACCUCAUGUUUAUUUUUAAUCAGUUUAUUUAUAUAGACAAAAAAAUGAUUCACAAAUCACAAUGAUGGAUCUUGUUGUUAAAUUAUUUAACUACAAAUUAUAUUAAAGUAAAUUAGGAUAGUCCGAUGUGCGAGUUUUAAAGUUUUAUAAUUAAAUUCUUAAAAUAUACCGAUAAUCUUUUAGUUAGAGAAGAUAAAUAUUUAUAUAUUCUUUAUAACAAAAAAAUAUAUUUUUAUAUUUGUUUUGCUUUAACUUAUUUGCAGCUCUAUAUUUUAAUUUUAUUGUAAGAUUAUAUUACAAUAAACACUACAAGAAAACUGUCAUUUUGCGAGGGAAGAAUUACUCGCUAAUCCCUCGCAAACAGCCAUACGCGAGGGACUUGCGAGGAAAUCAAGUUCCUCGCAAAUGGUAAAAAGUUGCAAUUCCCUCGCAAUUUUUGCGAGGAACUGUUUUCCUCGCAAAACACACGCAACACAGUUCUAGUAUUUCCCUCGCAACUGUUGCGAGGGAUUUGCGAUUCUUUUCUUUCUGCCUAGCAAAUCCAUCACAAACAACUGAUUUCCUGAUAUAUUAAGGCUUGAUUAGUGGUUAAUUAGACUCUAAUUAUCUGGUUAAUUAGUUGUUGAUUAGAGAUUAUUUUUGAUUCUUAAAUAAAGACACAAGAAGAAGAAGAAGCUGAAAUUAUCAUUAUCUAAAAUGUAUUCUACAAUGCCAAUAUUUGAAACCAUGUUCUAAAAAGAUUACAAGGAAAAAAGAGAAAGACAAUGUUCUCAAAAUACUGAUGAUGGAGAGGAUCCUGUUGCAAGGUUAGCUAGGGCAGCAGCAGCAGGUGUCUCCUCAUUGGCUUGCUGUUCUGGAGUUGUAGCUACAGGUGGUUCAUUUGCGCUAACCGGUCUUGUCUGUGUCGAGGAACCUCAUCGAAGAAUGGCAGCUAAAGCUGGAUCUUUCUCAGCAAGAUAGUCAAAGAGGAUAUCAAAGUUGUUGAUCUUCUCAGCCUGAUUUUGAAUGCAAGCUUCAGCGGCAGCCAGCUUCGCAGAAAGUAUAACCGGAUCAUCACUAGGAAGUGUUGGACCACUAUGAACUGAGGAUGCUUCAAACUGCAGAGAUCCAACACCAUAAAUCCUUCCUUUCUUUCUCGGAGCAACCUGCAAAGGUCACAAAAACUCACAAGGACACAACAGAAAACAAGUGAGAAAACAAGUUCAACACAAGACAAAAGAAUUCAAACACAAUAAGCUGUCAAGAUUUCAGACAACACAAUAAGUUGUCAAUAAGAUUUCAGACAACACAAUAAGAUUUCAGACAACACAAUAAGUUGUCAAUAAGAUUUCAGACACAACUAGACAACGCUAACAGUGAUUAUCAAGUAGACAACACAACCACACUUGCAAUAGAAAGCAAUUCAAACACAACACUACACAAAGUAUAAUGAAUAAGCUGUCAAGAUUUCAGACAACACAAUAAGCUGUCAAUAAGAUUUCAGACAACACAAUCAGAUUUCAGACAACACAAUCAGAUUUCAGACACAACUAGACAACGCUAACAGUGAUUAUCAAGUAGACAACGCUAACAGUGAUUAUGAAGUAGACAACAGAAAGAGCACAUAAAAUUUACCUCAGUAAAUAUCUUGUUUUUGGCAUGAACAGAAAGUCCACCUGAUCCAGUGCUCUCCGGAUUGUCCCCUGAACCCAUAUGAGACUCUUCCUCUUCAAUCCUAGAUGUUACUUGCUUGUAGAUCUCCUCUGACUUCCCAUCGAUGAAGCUUCCAUCCGCUUUUCUGUGUGUCUCAUCUAGCAGCUCAAGGAAAUCAGGAGUUUUUUCUCCAGUCUUCUCACACUGAAACACAAAGAGAUAAACAAGAUGUCAGUAUGUAAUUCUAGAUUAAGUAAUGGUAAGGAGAGAAGAAUACUUAUCUUACUCGUUUUCUUGCACGGGCUUUGUAUGAGGUCUGGCCUGAACGGUGUUUAUAGAUGCCUUUGCCAUCCGGAUCAUGAUACCUAGCAUUUCUGCUGUUGUUACUCUUUUUUUUCUGACUUUGGAUCUUGCCAAAACAGUACAAGACCUUUCCACACAUCAGGAUCAAUCCAUUUUGGCUUAGCUUCAUCACCUUUCUCCUUCCAAUUUCCCUUCCACCGUGACACUUGAUCAGUCAUCCUAGACUUUAGCUUUGCUUCAAACUCAACCCUUACUCUUUUGUUAAUUGAACGGUCCCAGUUAUAUACUUGCUACAAAAGAGAAGCUAACAUCAGAAAUGAAACCAUACACAAAACAAGCAUAAACAUCAAAAGAGCACAGAACUUACCGCAAACGUUUCAUACCAUCGAUCGAUUGUAGCCUUUGAUGUUUGUGACCAAUUGGCAUGAGGUUCUUUGAAAUCUCUUUCAAAGAUGAUGCGGACUGUUGCUGCAACUGCAGGGUCAUCGUCAAACCUACAAGAAGACCAACCAGCCCACACAUAAGGAUUUCUAUGUCUUUAAACUUCUAAGACAUCACAAUGCUAAGUACAACCAAGCUGUUCUAUUUGUUGAAACUUCUAAGGCACUACAACCUAAGGCACUACAACCUAAUUCCAUUACGCUCCAAGGCACUACAAAGUUCUAAGGCACUACAACCUAAGCUGUUCUAGGACAAUGAAUUUAACCUUACCAGAGAGUUCCCGGAGGACGCUUUGGGUCUAGCCUUGUCAAGCCAGCACGACCAGGACUAUCAAGAAGCUCCUCCAGUGUGAGAUUGUUGAGACGCUCAGCUUGAGAAUCACAAUCAUUGACAGAAGGCUGAGUGGUUGGCGUUGGAGGCGAUGGUGGAUGGCGUGAACCUUGAACCCCUGAAAUAUUCCCAGCACUGACAGGAGAAUUGACAUGCAACGAGUCUCCCUGCUGUGACCUAUAUCGUGCAUAAGUAUUCUCCGACGACGACAUCUUGCAAAACAAACAAAACCCAGAAGCGAUGAAGAAGAAGUUAGAUCGGAGAGAAGCAGAAGCAGAAGCAGAAGCAGAACAAAUGAUUGACAGAGUUUAGAUCCGUAAACUAGAACAGAUUAGAUCUGGAAAACAAUGUCAGAUCGGAGAUGAAGAAGAAGUUAGAUCGGAGUGAAGCAGUUAGAUCGGAGAAGAAGACGUUACCUUGGAGGCAAAAGAGAUCGAGUCGCGACUUGUGCUGGAGAAGAAGAGUCGCGACGGCUGCUGGAGAAGAAGAGUCGCAACGGCUGCUGGAGAAGAAGAGUCGCGACGACUGCAGGAGAAGACGAGACGCGACGGAGAAGAAGAAGAAGUUAGAUCGGACGGUGGAAGUUGGAAUGGAAAGAAGAAGUUAUAUCGGAGAAGAAGAGGUUACCUUGGAGAAGAAACAGAUCGACUCGCAGCUGAACCUGGAGAAGAAGAGUUGCGGCGGCUGCUGGAGAAUAAGAGGCGGCGACGUAAUCAGAUCGAAGAAGAAGAGAGGCGACGGCGAAGAAAAUAGAUCGGAGAAGAAGAGAAGCCGGCGACGAGGAAAACAGAUCGGAGAAGAAGAGAAUCGAAGAAAAAAAAUUAGGUUUAGUAUAUAUAAGCAUAUAUAUCCUCGCAAAUCCCUCGCAAACCUUGCUAGGAAAUUGCGAGGAACCGUCUUUUAAACCAAUCAAAAUGCAGCUUACAUUGCGAGGGAACUGCGAGAGCGCCUAGCAAAUCCCUCGCAGACCUUGCUAGGAAAUUGCGAGGAAUCGUAUUUUAAACCAAUCAAAAUUCAAUAAUUAUAUUUGAUUCAGUCUCUCCUAUUUCUAGUAAGACCCUCAGCAAAAUAAGAACAUGACUAAAAAUUCUAAAUAUUUUAGGGUUUAGUGUAAAUAUUGCGAGGGAACUGCUACGCGUACUAGCAAACACCUCGCAAUUUCCUCGCAAUGUAUAAUCAAUUUUGAAAAAUACAACAAUCACUAUUCAAAAUCAUUUGGAUUCAUUUUUUUUAAUCAUUAGAACGUUAAUUAUCUACAUUUGAACCUAUUUUAUCAUCAUAUAAUUCGAAUGUGUUUUUUCCCCAAAUACAUCAAUGAUGAUCUUAUGGUUUUCAUUAAGUAUGAAUCAUGAAUGUUUAACAUUUUCAAAAUGAAAUGUUGAUAUUGAAACCAAUACAAUAUUUUUUUGUUCAAACCAUAUAAUCAACUUGAAUGAUUAUAUGGUCACUUAGAUUCAUAUCUAUAAAUGAGAAUCGAAGAUUGCAAUACACUUUUAUGUAUUUUAGGGUUUAGGGUAAAGAUUUGCGACGUAUCUGCUUGGGAUUUGCGACGGAUAAUAUCUUUCUUGCGAAACCAUCGUACUUCCAUCGCAAAUUUGCGAGGAAGUCUUCCCUCGCAAGUUUUGCGACGGAAUUGCUACUCGCGUGCGGUACGUAGCAAGUUUCUCGCAAUAUCCUCGCAAUAAUUGCGAGGAAUGCCUUCCCUCGCAAACCUUCCUCGCAAAUUGACUGUUUUCUUGUAGUGAAACUAGUACAUUUAAAUUACUAAUCUUUAAAACUUUUUGCCAUAUAUAUUCAUCAUUAAUUUAUUGCCUAAUCUCAAAAAAUAGUUUCGCAGUCUCGCCUAAAAUAUGAAUCAACCACUUCUUGAGAAAAUGUUUUACCUGUAGACCACCAGUCAGGUUAUUUUAAUCUAUUUACAAAUCUACUAUCUACGUUACAACUAAAAAACGUAUCUAUGAGUACAUUAAGCCUAUCAGUUUCAAUCCAAUCAUAUUUUACUACUGAAAUAUGUUCUAUGAACACCUACAAAAUGUAUAUAUGAACACAUUAAGCCAAUUAUAUUCUUAUUUUGUUUAUGUCCAACUAUAUGUCUCUUCAUUUACACUUUUGCAUAGUUUCUUCAACCACUAAAUGUUUUGACUCAACAAAUAUUUUGAACAAAAAAAUAUAUCAUAUAGCAAUAAUUGAUGAUGUAUUUACAAGAAAACUAAAUUAAGUAAAAAAACUACUUGAUUAGAAUGCGUUUAUGACCAACCAAUAAACUAAAGGUUGAGAAAUUAAAAGAAAUUAAUUUGACGUAACUAAAAAAAUAAUAUAAAUGAGUCUUAGAUAAUUCAAAGAUAGAAAUAUAAAUGAAAGUAACAAUCUAAAAUACGACCACUAAAUUAAAAGUAAAUAGACAAAGAAAAAUCAUAUAUCGAUCUUACCAUAUACAAAUUACAAAUUUGUUUCAAAUCAACACAUAUUUCUAAUUAAAAAAAAACAAAUUGAAAUAUAUAAUGUAAAAUUUUACAUUAAAUCAUGACACAUGUAGUAGUCUAAUUUUUUUAGUACAAUGAUAUAUGAUAAUUAAGUUUUAUAUAAUUCAAAUACAAAAAAUCAAUACAAAUAAUCUUGAAAACAAAAAUUAAAUUAUAAAUUUUAGGAAGACGAUGAUUUAUAAAUCUUUAAUAAUUCAAUGCAUGCCACGAUAAUGUGAUAACUUUGUAGCUGUGUAUAAGCACACCUAGAGAUGGAGAUAACACCUAGAGAUGGAGAUAGAGAGAGAGAAAGCUUCAGGAGGAGAUGAAGAAGAUGAGAGGAGGUGCAGAUUUGGGGAUGUUUUUUUCUUUUUUUUUCGGUCCAAUUUUUUUUUUUCUGGAUGGAUUGAUCAACUUUACAAAAUCUCUGGCAAAUAUUUGGUAGAUUUUUAUUUUAUUUUCAUUGCUUUAACUUAUGAAUAAAUCUAUAUUUUGAAAAAUAAAAAGCUUGUGUACUUCUCGAAUGUUUAUGGUCUUAAUAUUGCUGCUUGCUUCGUUUUGGUCGCAUGAUUUUAAAUUUACUAGGUUAUAAAUCCACGCGUAAUUUUUUUAUCAAAAUUGAUUCUUAACUCUAUUGAUUUUUAUAAUUUUUAAUAUGGUAUAUUUAAAAUAAAAUGUUUACUUUAUUAGAAAUUUUAAUACUAUAAUCAAUAAUAUAUACUUUUCACCAAAUUAUAUUACGCGUGGGUUCAAAACCAAGUGUUAAUUACUUUGAAAAGCAAAUUUUAUAUAAUAAAAUUUUAAAGUAUGAUAUACUCAUAACUUGAUUUUUUUUUUUUUGCCGGCUACUCAUAACUUGAUUUGGUGCUAUUUAUGACAAUUUCUCUAAUUUAUUCGACUUUUGUUAUUUUGUUCUUUAAAGCAAUGAUAAAUUAUUAUUUGGUCUGGCCCGGAACGGACUGCUUUCAAAUGGACCGGGCCGCCAGCCCACAUACUAACUCAUUUAGAUAUAAGUUUCUUCUAACCUCUCUUUCUCUAAAAAGCUGUCGGCGAGUGGGAGAAGCGCAGAGAGAGCAAACAAAGAGCAAACUUGAAUUAUUUCUCCGUUGGCUUUGUUUGAAAAUAUAUAAAAAAAACAAUUAACGGGCCAUGAGCUUGUUGCAAAUAAUCUAUUUAUUUUUCAUUUUAGGAUUUUUGUUUCUCGACACGAGUUGAGCUGAUUUUGAUAAGCCCACAUGACAUUGUUUUAGAGUUUCUGUUUUUCUUCUUUAUACUUUUUAAAAUGCGGCCAGUGAAUAAUUUUCUAAGGUUUAUGCUUUAAUACAAGUUAAAUAAUUUUUUUGUAAAUAAUUUUUUGUUGGAAUGUCAAAUUUAUUCAACAAAAGAAAAUGAUUACAAAGAGUUUUGAAAGGUAAAAAAUGGAGAAAAUAAACGUGAAAAGUAGAAACAAAAAUGAUGAAAUUGGCGCCACUUACAUCAUUAUAGAAAGUUCAAAAGGCCUAAUUCUGACACAAUAUUAUUAACGGGUCAUGGGCUUAAUGACAAUAAUAAACUUUUCUCACUUUUGAGUUUUAAUAAGCCCACAUUUGCUUUAGGGUUUCUGCGUCUCUAUCUUUAAAUUGCUUCCGACGAUUCAUAAACUAGGGUUUCUGCCUUUAGCCGUCGUGAGAGAGAGAGCAAAUCGAAGAGAGAGCAAAGAGAAAAUAAUAUGUUGUUUGCGUUUGGUACGGUGACUCGAUCUGUGGCUAAUUCAGUGGUGGUUUGCUACGGCUUUCUUUCGACAAUGGUGUUUUCUUUCGACCUAAACUUGAUAGACCGAACCAAACUGAACCAAUUUUUAUAUAUAUUUACUCAAUUAAAUCCUAAACUCCUCUAUUUGAUCUGAACCCGAUCAACCCGAAUACAUAAAUAUCUAAUCUUAUCCAUCUGAAAGGAUACUAAACUCUCUAAUUCGAAUUACCCGAAUCCAGAAAAAGCCGAAUAGCAUGCAUUCUAUUGGUACUUGAUUAUAUUAAUUGGCAUAUAUAUGACCUGUUAUUGCCAAUAAUAUAUUUUGGGUGUUUCCUGGGCUUCAGUUUUAUUGGGCUAGGAAUGGGUGUACUUUUAAACCCACUUCUGAUUAGUCUCUUAGUAAAACCCACUUUUAAACCCACUUCUGACCCACUUCUGACGCCGUCAUUUUUCUUGAGAAGGAGAGAGAGCACCACUUCCGUCAUUCCAGCCCAAUAUUUUUAACGGGCCAUGGGCUUAUUGUAAAUAAUGUAUUUUUCUCAUUUUUGGUUUUCUUUAUGGGCACGAUUUUAGUGGGCUGAAUUUUGAUAAAGGCCCACAUAUGAAAGAUAUUUAGGGUUUUUUCUCUUGAUACCUUUUAAAACGCCGUCGAGAAAUCUCCCUCUAGGGUUUCUUUGAUCAAACCAGAGAGCCGUCAGGGAGAGCAAAACAAAGAUCGGAGAAGAUGAAGACGAUUCUUUCUUCCGAAACGAUGGACAUCCCCGACAGUGUUACCAUCAAGGUUCACGCUAAAGUGAUCGAAGUCGAAGGACCUCGCGGGAAGCUUGUUCGCGAUUUCAAGCAUCUCAACCUCGAUUUCCAGCUGAUCAAGGAUCCAGAGACUGGAAAGAAGAAGCUUAAGAUCGAUUCGUGGUUUGGAACACGCAAAACCA